rnacentral:rRNA from 1 species
UAACCUGCCCAAGAGAUCGGGAUAACACCUGGAAACAGAUGCUAAUACCGGAUAACAACAGAUGAUGCCUAUCAACUGUUUAAAAGNUGGUUCUGCUAUCACUCUUGGAUGGACCUGCGGUGCAUUAGCUAGUUGGUAGGGUAACGGCCUACCAAGGCGAUGAUGCAUAGCCGAGUUGAGAGACUGAUCGGCCACAUUGGGACUGAUACACGGCCCAAACUCCUACGGGAGGCAGCAGAA